rnacentral:tRNA from 1 species
GCCUGGGUGGCUCAGUCAGUAGAGCAUCUGACUUCAGCUCAGGUCAUGAUCUCACAGUUCAUGAGUUCGAACUCCGUGUUGGGCU